rnacentral:rRNA from 1 species
ACGGGUGAGGAAUACAUCGGAAUUUGCCCAUGUCGUGGGGGAUAACGUAGGGAAACUUACGCUAAUACCGCAUACGACCUAACGGUGAAAGCGGGGGAUCGCAAGACCUCGCGCGAUUGGAUGAGCCGAUGUCGGAUUAGCUAGUUGGUGGGGUAAAGGCCUACCAAGGCGACGAUCCGUAGCUGGUCUGAGAGGAUGAUCAGCCACACUGGGACUGAGACACGGCCCAGACUCCUACGGGAGGCAGCAGUGGGGAAUAUUGGACAAUGGGGGCAACCCUGAUCCAGCAAUGCCGCGUGUGUGAAGAAGGCCUUCGGGUUGUAAAGCACUUUUAUCCGGAACGAAACGCGCAGGGUGAAUAUCCUUGCGAACUGACGGUACCGGAGGAAUAAGCACCGGCUAACUUCGUGCCAGCAGCCGCGGUAAUACGAAGGGUGCAAGCGUUACUCGGAAUUACUGGGCGUAAAGGGUGCGUAGGUGGUUCUUUAAGUCUGCUGUGAAAGCCCCGGGCUCAACCUGGGAAUGGCAGUGGAUACUGGAGAGCUAGAGUGCGGUAGAGGGUAGUGGAAUUCCCGGUGUAGCAG